UAAGACAAAAAAGUGAGAACUAAAAUAGGAUUCAUAUUGCGACAUAUGUUUUACCACCUAUUUAAAAUUGUCAUUAUAACUUGAUGACUAUUGAAAUUUUGUUAAUAUAGAUUCUAUGGAAUAUAAUAGAUUAAUAGUAGUCUUACUUAAAAUUUACUAAAAAGGCAGGAAAUAAACCUCUAUUUAGGUAACUUUUAGAGUGGUGCACCCCAGCCACAAUUACGAUUAAAUACCAGCUAACAUAAUGAUGCCGUAAAACAGAACAUCUGAUUUCAUAUACGUCCAAAGUUAUAAGUUCAUUAUAAUUUUUUUAUAAUUAUAACAAGGCUACUACUGAAGGGUCAGUACACUGAGGUAUUAGGGUAAAAUUAUCAUUUUUCUCCAAAUAAAAAAGAUUCAAAAUUCUAGAUUCGAAAUAAAGUAAGGGGAAGGAGGGAAAUUGAGUAUGGUUCAGUGAAUAUUGUCAUAUAAAAAUAAUUUGACGCAUUUGUUUGGUCCUUUUUUUAUUUUGAUGUAACAUUCUGUUAUCAUGCUCAAUGUUGCCAAAAAAUAGUAAUGUAACUAGUCAAAUAAAAGAAUGAAAAUUGAUAAGCUCUUUUUUUGAAGAAGUUGGUAUACCCAAUUUUCCCCAUUUUGUGGGGUAAAACGGGUAUAACAUGCAAAAUCAAUCUAACUACUAUGUAGGUGCCUAUAACUGAGUUUAACCUUGCUGUGGGUAACCUAGGUAUAAGUAUUUGUUUAUAAAACAAACAUAACUGUUUUGAAAAUUUACUUUUAAUGUUUUAACGCAGUUACCACAACUGUGUGUUUAAGAUUAACCCUCCUCUUCGAGAAGGCACAAGGGUAACAACCAGUGGCGUCGAUUUUAUGGUGCAGGGUAUGCAGGCCUACCCUGAUAAUUUUGCAGGGGUUGCAGCAACCCCUGAAUUUUCCAAUUAUAAAAGCAAAUUAUUAGUAAAAUCUUCUUAAAUAAAUAUUUUUAACUUUAUAAAAUAAUUAAUUUAUAGUAGCUACACAGGACCUUCAUUCUCUUAACGCAUAAACUAGUUAUUUUUGUACCCUGCGCGGUUACCUAUAACGGCUGCGUGUUACGUCGGACAAUCGUUAUGUCACAUUGAUAAUCACAAAAUCGUCGAUUGUUACGAUUACAAUUCUAUCAUUAUGUGAGAAUGUAAUGUUUACUAGUUAAACUAAAAACACGCGAACCAGGAUAAAAUUUAACUAUAGGAAUAUGUGUUCUUUUUCUAAGACGCGCACAUGUCAUAAAUUGGCUCCCUAACAGUUGCGUGUAAAAGAUUUUAUGCGUGUUAAAUAGGCAGAAAUAAACUACGUAAAUCGGGUCGGUCAUUGCUUUAUAUUUAUAUACGAUAUUUUCCUCAGCCAAGCAGCAUGUUUGUUACGAAAUAGUAAGGAUUCACGCGUGGAUUCAUUACGACAUAAUGGCAAUUCACACAUCGAUUAUUGCAACAAAAUAGCAAUUUACACGUAGACACAUUCGUUAUGUAGUCUACAUGUGAAACAUUAUUCUCGCUCGCAAACCUUAUCCUGAUAAGUUUGUCUGUUAAAACGAAGAGAGAUCGUGGCGGCAAUGCUCCUUUGAUCGGUGAUAGGCGAACACAGCUUUGAUCGUGUGUUGUUAAACCUGAUUGACCCAUGUUUAAUUAAUUUUAUUUGUUUCCUCGAGUUUUGUUAAAAUGAUUUUUUCAAACUUCAUUGCACCCGUCAACCAACACAAAAUUGUUACGUGUUUAAUUGUGAUGCUUGUGAUGCAAACAACUUUUAUGAUGCGCAGAGUUUUAAAGUCAAAUGUUGCAUUAUAAACAAUAUUGUGACGUAGAGAAUUAACGUGAGAUAUUGCGCAAUGCUGCACCUGUCAGUUGAACAAGGUUAUGUCAUACGCGGUAUUGUGAUGUGCUCCAUUAUCGUAACGGGUGACGGUGCGUCUGUAUAAUCAACGUAUUGGCAAAUGUAUUAUAAUGAUAUUUACAUGUUAAGUUUUUUAAACACUUAACGACAAUUAACUGCCAGGCUUACAUCUUACCCUUUCCAUUAAAUGCCGCACACAUUAUAUGCGUGAUUUUAGGUGUUUUACAUAUACCUACUUCCAGCUAACAUGGUAUAAUGUCGCAACCCCUACGUUUUUAUAAAAUCGACGCCACUGGUAACAACUGCUACAGUAUUGCUUUGGCCUAGGCUGAAAACUUAACCGAGCGUCCAGCCUUGUGCUAUUGCAAUAAUGUUGCACGCAAAAAUGAAAAAUAUUAAAAUAGAAAAAACUGUAGCUACUAAAAGAUAACGAGACUAGUCAGCAUAUCUUUCUGUUUAAUUAUUUUUCCUUCUUUGUAAAUUUGCUCUCUCGCAAGUAACGAAUCGAAACAUCAGUGCAUUUGCCCGUAUCGAAUCACAGGUGGUGUCCAAUUACAAGAGCAAUGUCGAAUUACAAGAGAAUGUUUCCGUAUUUGAUUUUAAAUAAAAAGCCAAAAACUCUUUUACAGGAUUCUGGGAAUACCCCUUCAUUGAAAUCCUAUUAAUAAUAAAAUUAACUUUGCCAUGUCCGCUGCAUUGGUUAUGAUUUGUGCUGCUGUUGAACAUUACAUGUCAUUUUUUUUAUAAAUCUUGUGUUUGUGGGGUCUUUGUAUAAAACGUUUGUAAAUCGCUUUUAUUAGGUUCUGGCUACAUGACGUCGAAACUAGAGUAAACCGCGAUGUAAGUAUAUAAUGUUUUAUUGUGACGGCAAUUUUGGACGGCGGGGUAAUUCUAUUGAAAACCCGGUGGGGUACUUGAAAUGCGUUUACUGGACAUGUAGGAAUAUUUAUUAAACCAAACAUUGAGCUGAAUUUAUUUUAACCUUGUAAAAAUUCUGAAACUACCAAGAACCGAAUGUUGUAACGUCACAGACACAAAUGCUUUUAUCGCCGAUAAGUUGCCAGGCAACCGAAACGUACCUUGACUGACGUCUCCGUUACAACUGCGGUCUGGAACAUUUAUAUGUUGGAUUUUUAUUAUUUUAAUACUUUAAUGGAAAUAUCAAUGAUCCUAUCGAGUUAUUCUAGUAUUAUCCGCGCAAAUAUGACCUAUAAGUUUGCAUAAGAAAGGCAAUAAACAUGACGCACGCAUUAAAAUUCCAGGGCCUGCGGGAGUACCCUGGUAUUUGUGAAGGCCUGCUCGCAGGACUUGCAGGCCCGCAUUCAGCGCCUAUGCAUGUGACUAUUAUAAAACAAUGAAUCGCACCUUUAACAACCUUUUCUACUGCACAUGCUACAAUUUACAAGUGUGCUCAUGAAACUAUUUACUAUGAACUAUUGAGGGUUUUGUUUUUUAAUCAUGACCCAAUCUUUGGGUCUUUAAAGCCAUUGCACAGGUCGUGUCUCUACCUACUUUUGUUUCCAGCAGAAGUGUAACUCAAUUAAAACAUGGCAAGUUUGUUUGGUAGGUGUAACAACUAUGCUUACAUUCUUCCAACUAAAUGUAAAAUGUUUAUAACUGUAAGCGCGUUUUAACAACUGUUGUUUUGUUGCUAUAUCCUGUCCUUUCGUUUAAAAUAUUUCUAAAUCUUCGCUAUUGUAUUCGAAGAGACAAAUGCGCCCACACAAUAGUCAGAAAUACGCUUUAUACAAGAUUUGGUAGCUUGAGUGACAGACGCACAUAAAAUAUACUACGCCCAGAUUUUCAACAAAACUGCUGCCACGGUUAUACAUAUAUUUAAUAUUUAAUUAAACAUUUCCUAUAUGAAUUUUACAUUUUUCAACACUGGCAAUUACAAAACGAGACGUAUCUUUGACUGCAAACAUUUUUCGUGUCAAGCUUUUUGUUGAAGUUUGGGGCUCAGCGAACCCGAGCUUUUGCAACUUCAGCACAUCCCUAGUUUAUGCACUCUUUAUGUUUGUGGGUGGAAUAGAGCCAAUAGAGUUCACCAGCUACAUAAAACCGAGUUUGUUGUUUCUAAGUUUUAGGAUGUCUAAGUAUAUAUAGCAUACAUUAAACAUAGCAUUUCUAAUGCAUGUUACCUAUGUUGCCACGUUUGAAAAAAUUGUUCGUUUUAUUACGACAAGUAAACUAAUGUAUGUGCUUGUCCUGAAGAACAAGCACCUAAAACAAUUUAUUUUAGAGCCACAAAUGGAAACUAUAACUCAUGUGAUAUAUAACCUAGAAAUCAAAUGUAGUAAUACAGAUUCUACGCUGUAAUAUUUCACCUUUUGUUAAUUCAGGAUGACUUGGGUGAAAAUACAGUCACACGAUACUUUUUGCGUAUUUUAAGUUAAAUUUCGAUACAAAUGCCUGUUUUUUUUUUAAAAAAUCAUACAAGGGUAUCAGGGAGACCAGAAUGUAAAUGAAUGAAUGUAACUUACUUUAUCGUCGCGGAAAACAACAGUCAUCAUAGCAC